rnacentral:rRNA from 1 species
GGCCCCCUGUGGGAGGAGAAAUAGGGGGUCUGACCUGCCCGGUGACUUACGUUAAACGGCUGCGGUAUCUUGACCGUGCAAAGGUAGCAUAAUUAUUUGCCCAUUAAUUGUGGGAUGGUAUGAAUGGUUUGACGAGGGUGUGACUGUCUCCUUGUAAUUAUGUGGAAAUUAUUUUCUGGGUGAAGAAGCCUAGAUGUGGCUGAGGGACGAUAAGACCCCGUCGAGCUUUAGUGGAAUUUCGGUAGUUUGUGAAGCAGGUUGUGUGUAAAUUGCAAGAUCUGGGUGAAUCUUUGGUUGGGGCGAUCGAGAAGUAGAAGAAACCUUUUGUUAAGAUUUAAUGACUUGUUAGUGGAGAUCUGGUUUAUUGUACAGAGAGGAAGAAUAAGUUACCGCGGGGAUAACAGCGUAAUCUUCUUGGAGAGUUCAUAUUGAGAAGAGGGUUUGCGACCUCGAUGUUGGAUUAAGAUUUCCUAAGGGUGUAGGAGCUUUCGAGGGUUAGUCUGUUCGACUAUUAAAAUCUUAC